AAGUCGUCGUAAGAUAUAAAAAGUUUGAAACAGAACAUUAUCGAGGAAAAAUUUGAACAUCGUCAAUAGUUUUAAUGAAUUCAAGAUCUUUGAAAUAAAGCUGACAUAAAAUGGCCAGACUGCUUCUCUUUGCAACCCUUUUACUCGUGAUAAUAGCUGACGUGGCGACAAAAUGUGACAUAGGAUUCUUUUGUGAUGAGAAUGAAGACAAACGUGACAACUGGACAAAACGUGCAGAAAAAACACAGGAAAAGAUCCAAAGCAAAAAACAAAAGAUGGAACUCACAAGGCAGAAAUUCCUCUUAAAAUUUCUGGAAAACGCUCACAAAUUUUUAGAAAAAAAUGUUGUCAGUGACAAUUAAUAUUCUAACACAGACAUCAAAGUUCAAUGACUGAAGAAAAUUCUCUUGUGCAAAUAAAAUAUAUUGAAGCAAA